AGCGAACGCUGGCGGCAGGCCUAACACAUGCAAGUCGAACGAACUCUUCGGAGUUAGUGGCGGACGGGUGAGUAACACGUGGGAACGUGCCUUUAGGUUCGGAAUAACUCAGGGAAACUUGUGCUAAUACCGAAUGUGCCCUUCGGGGGAAAGAUUUAUCGCCUUUAGAGCGGCCCGCGUCUGAUUAGCUAGUUGGUGAGGUAACGGCUCACCAAGGCGACGAUCAGUAGCUGGUCUGAGAGGAUGGCCAGCCACACUGGGACUGAGACACGGCCCAGACUCCUACGGGAGGCAGCAGUGGGGAAUCUUGCGCAAUGGGCGAAAGCCUGACGCAGCCAUGCCGCGUGGAUGAUGAAGGUCUUGGGAUUGUAAAAUUCUUUCACCGGGGACGAUAAUGACGGUACCCGGAGAAGAAGCCCCGGCUAACUUCGUGCCAGCCGCCGCAGUAA
rnacentral:rRNA from 1 species